AUUAGUAUUAUAGCUAAUCUUUAUUGAUAAAAUUAAUUAAUUAAUGUUUUAUUUGUGUUUAAGUGCAAGUAAUUCAAAAGACCCAAUGAUGCUGGGUUUGAGCCCAAAGCCUGGCGUUCCGAGCUCAACAAAUCCUUAGCAUCUCAUCUGAGCUUCACGUCGCCCGUCAUGCGCAUGCAAUCCAUAUCACUGUGACCACAUGUUUCAGCUAGCACAAAUGCCCGCAUCGUGGAGCUUCCUAGCAUCAUCAAAACCGUCCAUGUGGCUCUCCAAGCAUCAUGGCAUCUCCUCCAUGGGACCUAAAUCAAAC
rnacentral:lncRNA from 1 species